GCACAGUCCAGGUCAUCCCUAGAGUCCCCAGAACUAAAAGAUCUGAGAAAGGAGACGGAGCCGGGAGGAAAACUGGAAGCAGAAAGUGCCGGGUUUCUGUUCUAGUGACUAAAAGGCUCAGGGGUCACUUCAGGGGAACUGGGCUGACCGGGCUUCGCAAAAUAACCACACAAGAGACACAAAGACCUUUUGGGGGUUGCUGUGACAGCUCCUCUGACCCUAAGGGUCCGCAGAAAGAGAGAGAGUGAGAGCAUGUGCUGACCCCUUUUAUUGAGGAGAAGCUAUUCGAAUGAGGCAAGGGGUCAGGUUUCAGGGGGCUGAGUCUAUCUUCAUGAUGACCACCCAGGUGUCUGUCAGCAGGUUGAUUGACACCUGGGUAGGCCACACCCAAGGGCACAGUAAGAGAAGGGGACACACACAAGGCACUUCCAUGGAACAUUCUAUCCUAAACAGGGCAAGGGGUAAUAUUACAAAGGAACAGGUGAGCAUAGCUCCACCCACAGGGCUGUAGCAAGACACACCCAGGCACGAGACAGGGACCCUGGAACAAAGAAGGGUGGGGAAAGCUCUGCCACAUUUCUGUGACUGAGCGCCUCAGCACCCAGCCGGGGAGUGUGACUCAGUCACGUGUGAGGUUGGUCUCCCACAAGAAAGUCUAAAAUUUAUUGUAUUUUAUGUUUUGGGAGUAACAAUUGGACCCAGGGGUGCUCUACCACUGAGCUACACCCACAGACUUUUUAUCUUUUAUUUUGAGACAGGGUCUCACUAAGUUGUGU
rnacentral:lncRNA from 1 species